rnacentral:rRNA from 1 species
UCUGCAACUCGACUACAUGAAGCUGGAAUCGCUAGUAAUCGCGGAUCAGAAUGCCGCGGUGAAUACGUUCCCGGGUCUUGUACACACCGCCCGUCACACCAUGGGAGCUGGUAACACCCGAAGUCAGUAGUCUAACCGCAAGGAGGACGCUGCCGAAGGUGGGAUUAGCGACUGGGGUGAAGUCGUAACAAGGUACC